GUGGAUAUAGCUCAGUGGUAGAGCACGUGCUUAGCAUGCAUGAGGUUCUGGGUUCAACCCCCAGAACCUCCA
rnacentral:tRNA from 1 species